rnacentral:rRNA from 1 species
AGAAUCAACGCUGGCGGCGUGCCUCAGACAUGCAAGUCGAACGAUUAAAGCUCUCUUCGGAGAGUGUAUAGAGUGGCGCACGGGUGAGUAACACGUAAGUAAUCUACCUUCGAGUGGGGAAUAACAUCGGGAAACCGAUGCUAAUACCGCAUAAUGCAGCGGCAUCGCAAGAUGACAGUUGUUAAAGAUUUAUCGCUUGAAGAGGAGCUUGCGGCAGAUUAGCUAGUUGGUAAGGUAAUGGCUUACCAAGGCUACGAUCUGUAACCGGUCUAAGAGGACGGUCGGUCACACUGACACUGAAUAACGGGUCAGACUCCUACGGGAGGCAGCAGUCGGGAAUUUUGGGCAAUGGGCGAAAGCCUGACCCAGCAACGCCGCGUGAAGGAUGAAGUAUUUCGGUAUGUAAACUUCGAAAGAAUGGGAAGAAUAAAUGACGGUACCAUUUAUAAGGUCCGGCUAACUACGUGCCAGCAGCCGCGGUAAUACGUAGGGACCAAGCGUUGUUCGGAUUUACUGGGCGUAAAGGGCGCGUAGGCGGCCCCGCAAGUCACUUGUGAAAUCUCCGGGCUUAACUCGGAACGGCCAAGUGAAACUGCGGAGCUAGAGUGUGGAAGGGGCAAUCGGAAUUCUUGGUGUAGCGGUGAAAUGCGUAGAUAUCAAGAGGAACACCUGAGGUGAAGACGGGUUGCUGGGCCAACACUGACGCUGAGGCGCGAAAGCCAGGGGAGCAAACGGGAUUAGAUACCCCGGUAGUCCUGGCCCUAAACGAUGAAUACUUGGUGUCUGGAGUCAUUAAUGCUCCGGGUGCCGUCGCUAACGUUUUUAGUAUCC